rnacentral:rRNA from 1 species
GGCGAACGCUGGCGGCGUGCUUAACACAUGCAAGUCGAACGGAAAGGCCCUGCUUUUGUGGGGUGCUCGAGUGGCGAACGGGUGAGUAACACGUGAGUAACCUGCCCUUGACUUUGGGAUAACUUCAGGAAACUGGGGCUAAUACCGGAUAGGAGCUCCUGCUGCAUGGUGGGGGUUGGAAAGUUUCGGCGGUUGGGGAUGGACUCGCGGCUUAUCAGCUUGUUGGUGGGGUAGUGGCUUACCAAGGCUUUGACGGGUAGCCGGCCUGAGAGGGUGACCGGCAACAUUGGGACUGAGAUACGGCCCAGACUCCUACGGGAGGCAGCAGUGGGGAAUAUUGCACAAUGGGCGGAAGCCUGAUGCAGCAACGCCGCGUGCGGGAUGACGGCCUUCGGGUUGUAAACCGCUUUCGCCUGUGACGAAGCGUGAGUGACGGUAAUGGGUAAAGAAGCACCGGCUAACUACGUG